GACGUAGGGGGCGAGCGUUGUCCGGAUUUAUUGGGCGUAAAGCGCGCGUAGGCGGCUGCUCAAGUCGGAUGUGAAAUCCGGGGCUCAACCCCGGACCUGCAUUCGAUACUGGGUAGCUAGAGGCAGGCAGGGGAGAUCGGAAUUCCUGGUGUAGCGGUGAAAUGCGCAGAUAUCAGGAGGAACACCGGUGGCGAAGGCGGAUCUCUGGGCCUGUCCUGACGCUCAGGCGCGAAAGCUAGGGAGCAAACAGG
rnacentral:rRNA from 1 species